UACGUAGGGGGCGAGCGUUGUCCGGAGUUACUGGGCGUAAAGCGCUUGUAGGCGGUCCACCAAGUUUGGGGUGACAGUUGCCGACUUAAUCGGCAAAGUGCCUCAAAGACUGGCGGACUUGAGGGCCACAGAGGGACAUGGAACUCCAGGUGUAGCGGUGGAAUGCGUAGAGAUCCGGAAGAACACCGGUGGCGAAGGCGGGUCUCUGGGCCGAUAUUGACGCUGAGGAGCGAAAGCGUGGGGAGCAAACAGG
rnacentral:rRNA from 1 species